AGCAGCCGCGGUAAUUCCAGCUCCAAUAGCGUAUAUUAAAGUUGUUGCAGUUAAAAAGCUCGUAGUUGAAUUUCGGGAUCAAUAUUUCGGUCAUGCCGUUGGUAUGCACUGUUAUCAUUGAUUUCUCACCUUCUAAAGAACCGUAAUGCCAUUAAUUUGGUGUUACGGGGAAUUAGGACUGUUACCUUGAAAAAAUUAGAGUGUUUAAAGCAGGCUCACGCUUGAAUACAUUAGCAUGGAAUAAUGAAAUAGGACAUCCGAUUCUAUUUUGUUGGUUUCUAGGAUCGAUGUAAUGAUUAAUAGGGAUAGUUGGGGGCAUUAGUAUUCAAUUGUCAGAGGUGAAAUUCUUGGAUUUAUUGAAGACUAACUACUGCGAAAGCAUUUGCCAAGGAUGUUUUCAUUAAUCAAGAACGAAAGUUAGGGGAUCGAAGACGAUCAGAUACCGUCGUAGUCUUAACCAUAAACUAUGCCGACUAGGGAUCGGAUGAUGCUAAUUUUUAAU
rnacentral:rRNA from 1 species